CCUGUUCGAGCGUCAUUAUAACCACUCAAGCCUAGCUUGGUAUUGGGGUUCGCGUCCUCGCGGCCCUUAAAAUCAGUGGCGGUAGUCGUCUGGCUCUAAGCGUAGUAAUUCUCUCGCUAUAGAUCCCGGCGACUGCCCGCCAAAACCCCCCAUUUUCUUAGGUUGACCUCGGAUCAGGUAGGGAUACCCGCUGAACUUAA
rnacentral:misc_RNA from 1 species